GACGAACGCUGGCGGCGUGCCUAAUACAUGCAAGUCGAGCGGAUGACAGAGGAGCUUGCUCCUCUAGAUUCAGCGGCGGACGGGUGAGUAACACGUGGGCAACCUGCCCUGUAGAUUGGGAUAACUCCGGGAAACCGGGGCUAAUACCGAAUAAUCCUUCGGACCUCAUGGUCCGAUGUUGAAAGGCGGCUUCGGCUGUCACUACAGGAUGGGCCCGCGGCGCAUUAGCUAGUUGGUGAGGUAACGGCUCACCAAGGCCACGAUGCGUAGCCGACCUGAGAGGGUGAUCGGCCACACUGGGACUGAGACACGGCCCAGACUCCUACGGGAGGCAGCAGUAGGGAAUCUUCCACAAUGGACGAAAGUCUGAUGGAGCAACGCCGCGUGAGUGAAGAAGGUUCUCGGAUCGUAAAACUCUGUUGUGAGGGAAGAACAAGUACCGGAGUAACUGCCGGUACCUUGACGGUACCUCAUUAGAAAGCCACGGCUAACUACGUGCCAGCCGCCGCGGUAAAAC
rnacentral:rRNA from 1 species